rnacentral:rRNA from 1 species
CUUGACAUCCAAUUGACCAUCUUUUAUCGAGAUUUUGCCUUCGGGUACAAUUGAGACAGGUGGUGCAUGGUUGUCGUCAGCUCGUGUCGUGAGAUGUUGGGUUAAGUCCCGCAACGAGCGCAACCUUGUGUUUAGUUGCAAACAGGUCAAGCUGUGCACUCUAGACAGACUGCCGUGGACAACACGGAGGAAGGUGGGGAUGACGUCAAAUCAUCAUGCCCCUUAUGAUCUGGGCUACACACGUGCUACAAUGGCCGGUACAACGGGCAGCGAAGGAGCGAUCCGGAGCGAAUCCUAAAAAGCCGGUCCCAGUUCGGAUUGCAGGCUGAAACUCGCCUACAUGAAGUUGGAGUUGCUAGUAAUCGCGAAUCAGAAUGUCGCGGUGAAUGCGUUCCCGGGUCUU